AACAGUAUGAUGAGGUACUUGAACAGAUGUAGGAGGAAGAGGAGAGGAGAUGGGAAUGGGAGAAUCUGGAUCAUCAAAAUGUUCUACAGGAGGAACAAAAGGAAAGGAUAAAGCAGAAGGAUGAACAGAAGAGGAUGUAGUUUUAAAAGGAAAAUAGGUUUCAUGGAGUAUAACAUCCCUGGAAACCAAACAUUUCUUGGAAGCAAGAUCAUACAAUUUAUAACCCUUUUUGGAAAAAGGAUAACCCAGGAAAACACAAGAAAUGGCUCUUGGCCUUAACUUGUCCCUUUGAGGAAUUGGGACAGUAACAUAGGCAAGGCACCCAAAUGCUCUCAAAUGGGAAUAGGUUGGAGCUUUCCCAUACAAAAUUUCAUUAGGAGACUUAUUGUGAAGCAAUCUGGAUGGUAUUCCGUUAAGGAGGUAAGUGGCAGUCAACAAACAGUCCCCUCAGAAAGACACAGGUAGCCCAGAUUGGAAAAGUAAAGCCCUACAUGUUUCAAUGAGGGUUCUAUGCUUUCUUUCAACAACACCAUUCUGUUGAGGAGAAUGAGGGCAGGUGGUUUGAUGAAUAAUCCCUUGGCUACUAAAGAAAGAUGUACCCUCAAUGCUAGAUCCCAAUUCUAAAGCAUUGUCACUUCUAACAGUUUGAACCACAACAUUAAAUUGGGUUUUAACUAGAGAAAGGAAUGACUUAAGCAGAGAAAAGGCAUUGCUUUUGGAUCCCAUUAAGUGUGUCCAGGUUGUCCUAGAACACAGGAAUGACUUAAGCAAAGAAAAAACAUUUCUUUUAGAUCCCAUUAAGUGUGUCCAGGUUUCCCUAGAGAAAUCAUCUACUAUUGUAAGGAAAUAUCUACAACCAGAAGAAGUUGGAGUAUGAUAAGGCCCCCAAGUAUCCAGAAAAAUCAUCAACAAUUGUAAGGAAAUAUCUACAACCAGAAGAAGUUGGAGUAUGAUAAGGUCCCCAAGUAUCCACAUGAAUCAAUUGAAAUGGUCUAGAGGUCUUAAUAGAACUGUCAGGAAAGGGGAGUCUAGUCUGUCCUGCCAUAGGACAGACAGAACAUGGAAAAGGUUGUUUAGAAGCAAAUGGAAAAGACAAAUCAGAAAUAUGUCUCAUAUUUGUAAAUGGAGUAUGGGCAAGUCUUAAAUGCCAAAUGUAAUUCAUGUCAGCUGUAACAACAUUAUUACAGAUGGAACUAUGUACAUUUGAGGGCAAGGGAACAACCUUGUUAUCAGACAAAAUGUCAUCAUUACAAGAAGCAGACACAGAACAUGCAGAAGUAGAUGNNNN
rnacentral:lncRNA from 1 species